rnacentral:rRNA from 1 species
UAAUCUUUGACGCAAUGGCGCUUUUGGGUUACACCUAGAAGCAUGUCUCUCUCAGGAUCGGUUUCAAUUACAAAUCAGGAAAAAGGGAAUUCACUUGUCAUUUUGACAGGGAACUUUUGACUGGACAAUGAUAGUCUAUUUCACUCUUCGGACUGGAAUAGUCUAUUGAAAUGAAUGGAGCUAUAGGUACUUGUUCACUGUAACUACAGUUGUCAACAACUCUGUCCUUCUCUUUCUGUGGAUAAUUUCACCUUUGUUGUGAAUUUCAUUGAAACAGUAAAGUGAGUGGCACCGAGUGGCAAUUGCAAUCACUACAGCCAAGUACAAUUGAAACUAUAGUGAACUCAAUGAAAGAAGGAACAAAUGAUUAAUCGAGCAAUUGGAGCUUUUUCAGUGAGAGCUGGCAAAGUCCCUUUCAAUUGUUUGAAUUUGUUCAGUCAGUGAUUUUCGAAUCGAGAAUUAUUGAUUUUUAUUAUUUCUUUCGCUCCUUUGAAUGAUCUGAGAUGAAGCAAGAGGACCCCCUGAAUUUAAGCAUAUUAAUAAGGGGAGGAAAAGAAACUAACAAGGAUUCCCUUAGUAACGGCGAGUGAAGCGGGAAUAGCUCAACCUGAAAAUCGACUGUCCAAGCGGGCCCUCGAAUUGUAUAGUGUCGACAUCUGUUCAGCGUGUGACCCGGACCUAAGUCCUUUGGAACAAGGUAUCGUAGAGGGUGAGAAUCCCGUCUAUGGUUCGGAGUUCGCCGCGUACGAAUGAUGUUCUUAGAGUCGAGUUGUUUGGGAUUGCAGCUCUAUUGG